rnacentral:rRNA from 1 species
AGCGAACGUUAGCGGCGGGCCUAACACAUGCAAGUCGAACGGGCGUAGCAAUACGUCAGUGGCGGACGGGUGAGUAACACGUGGGAAUAUGCCUUUCGGUUCGGAACAACUCGGGGAAACCCGUGCUAAUUCCGGAUACGCCCUUACGGGGAAGAUUUAUCGCCGAAAGAUUAGCCCGCGUUGGAUUAGCUAGUUGGUGAGGUAACGGCCCACCAAGGCAACGAUCCAUAGCUGGUUUGAGAGAACGACCAGCCACACUGGGACUGAGACACGGCCCAGACUCCUACGGGAGGCAGCAGUGGGGAAUCUUGGACAAUGGGGGAAACCCUGAUCCAGCCAUGCCGCGUGAGUGAUGAAGGCCUUCGGUUGUAAAC